GAUCCUGGCUCAGGAUGAACGCUAGCUACAGGCUUAACACAUGCAAGUCGAGGGGCAGCAUGAACUUAGCUUGCUAAGUUUGAUGGCGACCGGCGCACGGGUGAGUAACACGUAUCCAACCUUCCGUUUACUCAGGGAUAGCCUUUCGAAAGAAAGAUUAAUACCUGAUAGUAUGGUGAGAUUGCAUGAUAGCACCAUUAAAGAUUUAUUGGUAAACGAUGGGGAUGCGUUCUA
rnacentral:rRNA from 1 species